AAGACUAUAGACCUGCGGAGUACCUGCGGAAGGAUCAUUACCAAUUUUUAAUAUUAGUGUUGGAUUUCGCUGCUCUUGUGGUGGCGGAUCUCAACUACUAUUAUGUAAACGUUGAACUAGAUCAAUUGGUGUGGAUUGCUUGGGAAUGGAAGAAGCGACAAGCCUCUUCCGGACAGGCAAACCCCACACUGAUGCCACCUUUUCAAUAUAACAUACUACUCGUACAUACUACAAACAAAC
rnacentral:misc_RNA from 1 species